UGGGGAAUUUUGGACAAUGGGCGAAAGCCUGAUCCAGCAAUGCCGCGUGUGUGAAGAAGGCCUUCGGGUUGUAAAGCACUUUUGUCCGGAAAGAAAUCCUUGGCUCUAAUACAGUCGGGGGAUGACGGUACCGGAAGAAUAAGCACCGGCUAACUACGUGCCAGCAGCCGCGGUAAUACGUAGGGUGCAAGCGUUAAUCGGAAUUACUGGGCGUAAAGCGUGCGCAGGCGGUUUGCUAAGACCGAUGUGAAAUCCCCGGGCUCAACCUGGGAACUGCAUUGGUGACUGGCAGGCUAGAGUAUGGCAGAGGGGGGUAGAAUUCCACGUGUAGCAGUGAAAUGCGUAGAGAUGUGGAGGAAUACCGAUGGCGAAGGCAGCCCCCUGGGCCAAUACUGACGCUCAUGCACGAAAGCGUGGGGAGCAAACAGGAUUAGAUACCCUGGUAGUCCACGCCCUAAACGAUGCCAACUAGUUGUUGGGGAUUCAUUUCCUUAGUAACGUAGCUAACGCGUGAAGUUGACCGCCUGGGGAGUACGGUCG
rnacentral:rRNA from 1 species